UACGAAGGGGGCUAGCGUUGUUCGGAAUUACUGGGCGUAAAGCGCGCGCAGGCGGCCUUCCAAGUCAGUGGUGAAAGCCCGGAGCUCAACUCCGGAACUGCCAUUGAAACUGUAAGACUUGAGGAUGAGAGAGGUGAGUGGAAUUCCCAGUGUAGAGGUGAAAUUCGUAGAUAUUGGGAAGAACACCGGUGGCGAAGGCGGCUCACUGGCUCAUAUCUGACGCUGAGGCGCGACAGCGUGGGGAUCAAACAGG
rnacentral:rRNA from 1 species